rnacentral:rRNA from 1 species
GGAUGCGAUCAUACCAGCACUAAAGCACCGGAUCCCAUCAGAACUCCGAAGUUAAGCGUUCUUGGGCGAGAGUAGUACUAGGAUGGGUGACCUCCUGGGAAGUCCUCGUGUUGCAUUCG